AGCGAACGCUGGCGGCAGGCCUAACACAUGCAAGUCGAACGAAGCCUUCGGACUUAGUGGCGGACGGGUGAGUAACACGUGGGAACGUGCCUUUAGGUUCGGAAUAACUCAGGGAAACUUGUGCUAAUACCGAAUGUGCCCUUCGGGGGAAAGAUUCAUCGCCUUUAGAGCGGCCCGCGUCUGAUUAGCUAGUUGGUGAGGUAAAGGCUCACCAAGGCGACGAUCAGUAGCUGGUCUGAGAGGAUGAUCAGCCACAUUGGGACUGAGACACGGCCCAAACUCCUACGGGAGGCAGCAGUGGGGAAUCUUGCGCAAUGGGCGAAAGCCUGACGCAGCCAUGCCGCGUGAAUGAUGAAGGUCUUAGGAUUGUAAAAUUCUUUCACCGGGGACGAUAAUGACGGUACCCGGAGAAGAAGCCCCGGCUAACUUCGUGCCAGCCGCCGCCGUAAAAC
rnacentral:rRNA from 1 species